rnacentral:rRNA from 1 species
UGGGGAAUAUUGGACAAUGGGCGCAAGCCUGAUCCAGCCAUGCCGCGUGAGUGAUGAAGGCCCUAGGGUUGUAAAGCUCUUUCAGCGAGGAGGAUAAUGACGUUACUCGCAGAAGAAGCCCCGGCUAACUUCGUGCCAGCAGCCGCGGUAAUACGAAGGGGGCUAGCGUUGUUCGGAAUCACUGGGCGUAAAGCGCACGUAGGCGGACUUUUAAGUCAGGGGUGAAAUCCCGGGGCUCAACCUCGGAACUGCCUUUGAUACUGGAAGUCUGGAGUCCGAGAGAGGUGAGUGGAACUCCGAGUGUAGAGGUGAAAUUCGUAGAUAUUCGGAAGAACACCAGUGGCGAAGGACGGCUCACUGGCUCGGUACUGACGCUGAGGUGCGAAAAGCGUGGGGAGCAAACAGGAUUAGAUACCCUGGUAGUCCACGCCGUAAACGAUGGAAGCUAGCCGUCAGGGUGCAUGCAUCUUGGUGGCGCAGUUAACGCAUUAAGCUUCCCGCCUGGGGAGUACGGUCGCAAGAUAAAACUCAAAUGAAUUGACGGGGUCAUAGCUGUUUCCU